rnacentral:rRNA from 1 species
AGAGUUUGAUCAUGGCUCAGGAUGAACGCUGGCGGCGUGCUAACACAUGCAAGUCGAGCGAUUUACUUCGGUAAAGAGCGGCGGACGGGUGAGUAACGCGUGGGUAACCUGCCCUGUACACACGGAUAACAUACCGAAAGGUAUGCUAAUACGAGAUAAUAUGCUUUUAUCGCAUGGUAGAAGUAUCAAAGCUUUUGCGGUACAGGAUGGACCCGCGUCUGAUUAGCUAGUUGGUAAGGUAACGGCUUACCAAGGCGACGAUCAGUAGCCGACCUGAGAGGGUGAUCGGCCACAUUGGAACUGAGACACGGUCCAAACUCCUACGGGAGGCAGCAGUGGGGAAUAUUGCACAAUGGGCGAAAGCCUGAUGCAGCAACGCCGCGUGAGCGAUGAAGGCCUUCGGGUCGUAAAGCUCUGUCCUCAAGGAAGAUAAUGACGGUACUUGAGGAGGAAGCCCCGGCUAACUACGUGCCAGCAGCCGCGGUAAUACGUAGGGGGCUAGCGUUAUCCGGAAUUACUGGGCGUAAAGGGUGCGUAGGUGGUUUCUUAAGUCAGAGGUGAAAGGCUACGGCUCAACCGUAGUAAGCCUUUGAAACUGGGAAACUUGAGUGCAGGAGAGGAGAGUGGAAUUCCUAGUGUAGCGGUGAAAUGCGUAGAUAUUAGGAGGAACACCAGUUGCGAAGGCGGCUCUCUGGACUGUAACUGACACUGAGGCACGAAAGCGUGGGGAGCAAACAGGAUUAGAUACCCUGGUAGUCCACGCCGUAAACGAUGAGUACUAGCUGUCGGAGGUUACCCCCUUCGGUGGCGCAGCUAACGCAUUAAGUACUCCGCCUGGGAAGUACGCUCGCAAGAGUGAAACUCAAAUGAAUUGACGG